rnacentral:lncRNA from 10 species
UUCAUUGGCUAGGGUUGCCAAUGCAGUGCUGAACAGAGUGACAAAGUGGAUAUCUUCCCUUAUGUGCUCCAGAAAUUUGUAUUGAAAAUUUGACUGAAUCAAAAGCUGCAAAUGCUCAGGGCAAAACUCUGCAAGGCCUGGCAGAAUACAACUACUUGGGGAAGAACAAUUAUCAAGAAGUUUUGAACUGAGCAACUACCAGAGGUCACACAGGUGUGGAAAACAUUCAAGGUUUGACAGAAAGAAUGAAAAGACCCUGUAGAACCCCCAAAGAAUUCAAUGAAGACCUUGUAAAUGCUAAGCCUAAUAGCUGAUGACCUGCUCUCCUCACCAUGAUAAAGAUUUGGAACUGUCCUAAUACACUCUCCACCAAGCUAUCUUUUAAUGGUUUCUUUACCAUUGAAGGAAACAUGGAAGAGAAAAGCUGUGUUCCUGCUUCUGUACUUGUCUUGGCCUGGAAACUCCCACUCAGUUCUUCAUUAUAGAAAAUAACUUGUAAAACUAUGAGCCCCAAAAUGGGAUGAGGCAAAAGAAUGAGAUGAAAGUUAUAGAAUUAAUGAAACAGAUUAUGAACUGAAAUAAUAGCACAAUAGACUUUGUAAAUAAUAAUAAGAACAAGGAAGGAAAUAGACAUGGACAAAAACUGUAUUUAUGGCAUGGGGGAUACACUGAAAUGGUCACGGAUCAGAGAUUAAAGCAAUUGGAAGAGAUGAUAGUUAUGAAAAAGUAAAGAUAAUAUAACAUAAAGGCAAUUGGUAUCCCUGAAGGAAAGAGCUACUAUGAUGUAA